GGUGAUAUAUUUUAUUAAAAUAUUAUCUUGCAAGGAUAAAGUUGCUUAGGGCUAUCACUU
rnacentral:tRNA from 1 species